CCAGACUCCUACGGGAGGCAGCAGUGGGGAAUAUUGCACAAUGGGGGAAACCCUGAUGCAGCGACGCCGCGUGAGUGAAGAAGUAAUUCGUUAUGUAAAGCUCUAUCAGCAGGGAAGAAAAUGACGGUACCUGAGUAAGAAGCCCCGGCUAACUACGUGCCAGCAGCCGCGGUAAUACGUAGGGGGCAAGCGUUAUCCGGAUUUACUGGGUGUAAAGGGAGCGUAGACGGCAGUGCAAGUCUGGAGUGAAAGGCGGGGGCUCAACCCCCGGACUGCUCUGGAAACUGUGCUGCUGGAGUGCAGGAGAGGCAAGUGGAAUUCCUAGUGUAGCGGUGAAAUGCGUAGAUAUUAGGAGGAACACCAGUGGCGAAGGCGGCUUGCUGGACUGUAACUGACGUUGAGGCUCGAAAGCGUGGGGAGCAAACAGGAUUAGAUACCCGCGUAGC
rnacentral:rRNA from 1 species